rnacentral:lncRNA from 1 species
CACAUGCACAAAUUCAAACAGUUCAGACCCAAAAAGAAGGUUGGUUGAUUUUCUGUACAGCAACAAUAUUUUUAAAAUAUGAAACAGUAUUUAAAAAAAAUAAAAAUGUUUUUAACGUAAGAAAGAUAUUUGCAGUUUCUCACACUCCUUUCUGAUAUUCUGGUUCUCAAAGUUCAGCGUGGAUCUGACGUGUCUUUGCGAUGUGAUGUCCGUCUUCUGUCUAAAUCCUCCACAUUGAACUGGGAGAAAGAUGGAGAACACACACCCAACAGCACUCUGAUGUACAACAACUCUGCCUACAUCAUCUUACACACCGUUGAUGAACGCAAUAAAGGGAAUUAUUACUGUAGAUUGAUGGAAGAUGGAAGCGUACAAACUGUUAGGAUUCACACACUUAAUGUUACUUCAAGUUAGUACUUUUACGUUAUUAUGUUAUUCUUACAUUUACAUUACAUUUACAUUUAAUCAUUUAGCAGACGACUCUGCCUACAUCAUCUUACACACCGCUGAUGAACGCAAUAAAGGGAAUUAUUACUGUAGAUUGAUGGAAGAUGGAAGCGUACAAACUGUUAGGAUUCACACACUUAAUGUUACUUCAAAUUUAUAUGGAAGUCAAACCAUUUACAGACAAAGCCCCUUUCACAUCUCACCUGUGAACUUCAAUUAUAGUGGGACAUACAGGUGUAUUACUGAAAACACAAUCUACACAACCACAAUACCAUGCACCAUUAGAGUCUCAGUGGAGCCCCCUGAUGGUGUGUUGAGGAGUCAGUCAGUGGUUCUUACCUGUGAGGUAUCUGAAGUAACUGAUUCAGUGACGCUGGUCUGGUUUAGGAUGGAGGGGAACAGAGGAGUGCUGGUCAAACAGCAAAUUAUGACUGAGAAAAACAACAUGUUACGUCUCACAGUGAAUCUAGCCAGCUAUGAAACAGACCCGCUGCACUGGCAGUGUGCAGUUUUUACUGAGAAUACACUCUGAGGUGAGUGCAGUACAGUUCAAAACAGUGUAUAUGCAUAUAAUGUAUAUAUUUUACAAUAAAGUAAUGAUGUUAAUUUAUUGUGCUACCAAUUGGAAUUGUCACUUUCCCCCAAAAUAGUUUAUUUUUUGCUAUUAAUUUAUCUUGUCUUUCAGACACCAGUUACAUCAGACAGUAUGACCUACGCAACCAUUGUUUUCAACAAAUCCAGGUUUCAGACUUAAAAUAUAACUCCAGUCUAUAAUGAGAACCUGAGGGAGACACAAUUUCAUAUAAUGUUUUAUUUUUUAGAUAUGAACCUCAAACCAAUAUCUCACAGAGAAAGUAUAAACAUUUUCUUUAUUAAACAGCAGAUGGCGCUGUCUGGUUACAUUAGCUAUAAUCUGAGAAUGCAUUAAGAGGUUCUCAGACCUAACUGCCUUCAUUAAACCACCACCACAUAUAUUAAUCCUACUGACUGAAACUGGAUAACUGCAUCCUGUUAUUAAUGUUGUGUUAAUCCCAUUUGUAAAAGCAUCAACUAAGCAUCCAAAUAUUAUUAUGAUUUUGCAUUUGUUAUAUUAUAGUUGCCUUCAUAUAUGUGCAUGCAUGCUAGUGAAAUGGCCAUUUGAUGGCACUGUUUGAAAACGUUCUUGAAUAAUAAUAAUAAUAAUAAUAAAGUGUAAGUACUAAAUAGGAUAAUGCAGUUACAUCCUCUUCUCUCUCACUCUCUCUGUCUGUCACUUUCAUCCUCCUGGAAUCCACCCAGAACAUGCUGCUUCAUUGUACUUCAAUCUAAAACACAAAAGUGUGGAAAAAAGUAGUUUGAAUAGGAUGUCUUCAUGGACAAGGGAUAAUGCUCCUCGCAAACUCAAGGUUGCUCUGCUUUGUAUAAAUGUGUGUCUUUAUUUAAACAUGGUGGGGGGAUUUUAAAACGCUUGACAAGGUCUGCUAAGUAGAACCACUGAGUGAUGAAGAAUUCAAAUGCACAUAAAUGAUGUUCUACGAGGAGGGGAAAGGCAGAUGUUGACAGAAUGGGCUGCAUAUAAGGAAAAAAAACCAAGGUUAAUGCAUUUUGAAUCACAUCUUUGUCUCUGAAAUGUAGGCUUCAGAUAAUCCCAUUUUAUUAAGGUCCUGACCACAUCAUGCAGUAAAGACUUAUUACGAGGAGCACCAUGAGUUUGGUCAAGAUGGGUAGAAUCUUAUCCAAAGUCUUACUUUCAACCACUGACAAUCACAGCACUUUUCUAGUUAAGCAAAGCUUUUCUGCACAGCUUAAUCUCCUUGACUUUGAAUUAAUAUGUUCAGUUUCCUAAAAUCGCUUUACUCUAUCCAUCACUCCAGACACUUCAGCCCCCCCCCCCCCAACCAUACGACAAGUAAGAUAUAGUGGCUUUGGUGAUUCUGCAUCCACUAUUUAAGGCAUGGUAACCUACACACCUGUCCUAGCAAAAACUAGACAAAUUAAAAAGUACACAAAUUAAGUGUAUUCGUCUGUGGUCCAACCCGUCUGUAAAUGCCCUGAAAUUACAUAACCUGCUGUAUGUCAGACCCACAUAAUGUUACACAUAAUUCAUAAAGUAGCACUUCAAGGAGUGGUAAAAUAGUAAUAAUUUAACAAACAAAAUAUAUAACAGAGUAGUUCAGACAGAUAUUACAAUGGCUUAAUUUUAAUGCAAGCUCACAUUUUCCAUCCAUAACUGAUACAUAUGGUUACGGAUGAAGAAGAACAUGCAAAUUUCAG